rnacentral:rRNA from 1 species
UGGGGAAUAUUGCACAAUGGGCGAAAGCCUGAUGCAGCAACGCCGCGUGAGUGAUGAAGGUCUUCGGAUUGUAAAGCUCUGUCUUUUGGGACGAUAAUGACGGUACCAAAGGAGGAAGCCACGGCUAACUACGUGCCAGCAGGCCGCGGUAAUACGUAGGUGGCGAGCGUUGUCCGGAUUUACUGGGCGUAAAGGGUGCGUAGGCGGAUGUUUAAGUGAGAUGUGAAAUACCCGGGCUUAACUUGGGUGCUGCAUUUCAAACUGGAUAUCUAGAGUGCAGGAGAGGAGAAUGGAAUUCCUAGUGUAGCGGUGAAAUGCGUAGAGAUUAGGAAGAACACCAGUGGCGAAGGCGGCCC